rnacentral:rRNA from 1 species
AGAGUUUGAUCCUGGCUCAGGAUGAACGCUGGCGGCGUGCCUAAUACAUGCAAGUCGAGCGAACAGACGAGGAGCUUGCUCCUCUGACGUUAGCGGCGGACGGGUGAGUAACACGUGGAUAACCUACCUAUAAGACUGGGAUAACUUCGGGAAACCGGAGCUAAUACCGGAUAAUAUAUUGAACCGCAUGGUUCAAUAGUGAAAGACGGUUUUGCUGUCACUUAUAGAUGGAUCCGCGCCGCAUUAGCUAGUUGGUAAGGUAACGGCUUACCAAGGCAACGAUGCGUAGCCGACCUGAGAGGGUGAUCGGCCACACUGGAACUGAGACACGGUCCAGACUCCUACGGGAGGCAGCAGUAGGGAAUCUUCCGCAAUGGGCGAAAGCCUGACGGAGCAACGCCGCGUGAGUGAUGAAGGUCUUCGGAUCGUAAAACUCUGUUAUUAGGGAAGAACAAAUGUGUAAGUAACUAUGCACGUCUUGACGGUACCUAAUCAGAAAGCCACGGCUAACUACGUGCCAGCAGCCGCGGUAAUACGUAGGUGGCAAGCGUUAUCCGGAAUUAUUGGGCGUAAAGCGCGCGUAGGCGGUUUUUUAAGUCUGAUGUGAAAGCCCACGGCUCAACCGUGGAGGGUCAUUGGAAACUGGAAAACUUGAGUGCAGAAGAGGAAAGUGGAAUUCCAUGUGUAGCGGUGAAAUGCGCAGAGAUAUGGAGGAACACCAGUGGCGAAGGCGACUUUCUGGUCUGUAACUGACGCUGAUGUGCGAAAGCGUGGGGAUCAAACAGGAUUAGAUACCCUGGUAGUCCACGCCGUAAACGAUGAGUGCUAAGUGUUAGGGGGUUUCCGCCCCUUAGUGCUGCAGCUAACGCAUUAAGCACUCCGCCUGGGGAGUACGACCGCAAGGUUGAAACUCAAAGGAAU